AUAUUUAUGAGGGGCAAGAUAGGUCAGGAAUGUAUUUUUAUAAGACAUUUAUUUACUGUAUAUCACUGCAAUGACUCAACAAAAAAGUUAAGUAAAAGUGAGGAUAAUUCCAUUGCACUAAUUAAAUUUAUUGACCUGGAGAACCAGGCAAACUUAAAGUUCAACAAAGAAUUUGAAGGAGGUAAUAACAGUAUAACACUGAGAUCAAUAUCUUUUAUUUUCCACAGCUGUCAAAACACCACCAUGCUGUCAUGCACAAAAGCAAAGCAGUUGCUGCUGUGGCUGUAGUCAACACUGAUAGAGAGGUAAUAACUGUUGCACAGUACCUUGUGCUGGCGGAGGAGGAAGGGCAGCAGCAUCAGCAUGCCUCCAUCAUGGACAAUCCACCACACGUCAAUGUGACCCUCAGUAAAGCGCUCUCCAUUGGACGGGAAGGCCGAGAUGUUCUUCGGGACAAGCAGAGCAAGUGACCCACCAACGAAGUUCCUCCAGGUCUGGUCCUCAUCUCCCUGCCUCCAGUUGCGUGGCCAAGAUACCAGCACAGCGUUAUGUUUCAGGCCUCCUAGCCCACUGGCCUGAAGGAGGUGGGAGGUGGCAUCACGCAGGUUU